UACCUGCCUGAGAAGGACAGCACUGGCAUGCAUAGAAUGAGAAGAGUUGUGGUGAAGCAAGAGGAGAAAAGCAGGAUACUAAACAUGUGCCACGAUGGACUGGAUGGGAUGCAUUUUGGGAGAGACAAGACCUAUGGAAAGGUUGCUCAGGAUUUCUACUGGAAAGGCCUACAUGCUGACGUCAUACAGCUCUGCAAGCACUGCGACAAAUGCCAACGAACGAAUCACCAACUGCAGAAGCCCAGAGCAGAACUACACCCCAUCCCUGUGACAAAGGUCUGGUACAGAGUUGGUAUUGACUUGGUAGGACCUCUACCUGAAACAAGCUCUGGAAACAAGUACAUUAUCACCCUCUCAGACUAUUUCUCUAAGUGGCCUGAGGCUGCCCCACUCCCAUCAAAAUCAGCAGAAGGUGUAGCAAAAUUUCUGUUUGACACAUUUUGCAGGCAUGGGUGGCCAAAAGUGAUUCAAUCAGACCAAGGAAGAGAGUUUGUCAACGAAAUCAACACCCGACUUUUUCAGUUGACUGACAUACAGCACUGCGUAUCAAGUGCUUACCACCCACAAACAAAUGGCCUUGAUGAACGCUUCAACCAGACUCUAUAUAGUGAACACUCUCAAGAAGGUAAUCGAUUCUAUAGUACUGAUGACUGGGAUUAGCAUCUCUCUGCUGCUCUUUAUGCCUAUCGCAUAUCAAAACAGGCGUCAUCAAAGUACACACCCUUUUUCCUAAUGUUCAAUCGCCACCCGCGGAAAGCUGUUACUUUUGAUAUGGAUCAACGAGAUGGUGUCGACGCUAUAGAAGAUAGAGGAGAUGCUGACCAAUUGAGUGGAGAGGAGACUGAAAAUGAAGAAGACGGAGAAGACAUGGAUGGAAUUCUCCAAAGGUUGAUGGAAAUUCGUGACCGCUGUCACCUCAAUGCCAAGGAGAACAUUGCUGCUGCACAGCAAAAACAGAAGCAGCAGUAUGACAACAAGCAUAACUCUUUGAAGAGUUAUCCAGUUGGCAGCAGUGUCAUGCUAUGCUAUAUCGUGUCAUGGCCAAUUCUCAUCGAAUGGGAGGGAAAAUGGACUGCACCUGGAAAGGUCCAUAUAUUGUCCAUAAGAUCCUUGACAAGGGUAGAUACGAGUUGCAGUCUGGGAGCGGCAAAGUAUUGAAAAAGUGUUACAAUGGGGUACUGCUAAAGGAAUACUACUCUCCAGAAACCAACGAUGAAGAAAACACUCUUCCUGGCUCUGAAGACAACCACUCUUCUCCAGUCAAAUCACCUCCUAAGAAUAAACGAAUGCCUGACGUAUACCCUCUCAAAAUCCUGACCUACCCUCUCAAAAGCCUGAUGCACCCUCUUAAAAGCCUGACCUACCCUCUCAAAAGCCUGAUAUACCCUCUCAAAAGCCUGAUGUACCCUUUCAAAAGCCUGACCUACCCUCUCAAAAGCCUGAUGUACCCUCUCAAAAGCCUGAUGUACCCUCUCAAAAACCUGACCUAUACCCUCUCAAAAGCCUGACCUACCCUCUCAAAAGCAAGAUAAGCGUGAUAAGCGUCCUCUUGACACAAAAGAUCCUUGCAAGUCACCUCCUAGGAAGAAACAAAAGAGUCAGGGAACGAUGUGGCUGAAGAAACCUCUUUGACAAACAAGUGUUGAGUGCAAUAGGUGGUAUGCUCUCCGACAAGCAUAUGCGUGCAGCCCACCAGUUAUUAUCGAUGCAAUUCCUUAAGUUUGAAGGCUGCUAUAAUACUCUCUUGGCCCAAUUAAAGGCAUUUCCACCAGUUUUCAAUAAUCAAGGCCCAGCUGUGCAAAUCUUCUUUGUUGAAGAACGACAGCACUGGAUUGCCACUUCUCUGUUUAAGGGUGAACUGUAUUUAUACGACAGCUGCUUCAAUGGAACGCUUUCCCCAAGUACUGAGCUCCAGAUAGCACAAGUGUAUAGCCCAUUAAUUCAAUGCAAUGGGCUGUUGAUUUCUGUGGUGGCUCUCCAGCAGCAAGAGGGUGCUAACAACUGCGGACUAUUUAGCAUUGCUGCUGCAUAUCACGCUGCUAUGAACGAUAAUGUGGAUUCUCUAGUGUUUGAUGAGGCCAAAAUGAGAGCACAUCUCAUUAAGUGCUUUGAGAAGGGCAAACUCUCACGGUUCCCUCGCACAAAGAAAGUGAUGCCCAAAAGACCAACACCACAAACCAUUGCCAUUACAAUAAUAUAUUAUACUGCAUGUGCAAGAGACCGGACUCUUUUGAGGAUAUGGUCAUGUGUGACAAAUGUAGUGAGUGGUAUCACUAUCGCUGUGCCAAAAUUCGCAAAGAACCAGUAGGUAAUUGGUUUUGUUCUGGUUGCAUCACUUUAUGAUUUGUGCACUUUUGGUUAUAUUUAUUGUACUUCUUUCUCUUGCAUUGUUGUAUAUAUUGAGUAUUGAGA